CACGUAGGGUGCGAGCGUUGUCCGGAAUUAUUGGGCGUAAAGAGCUCGUAGGCGGUGUGUCGCGUCGGCCGUGAAAACCUGCAGCUUAACUGUGGGCUUGCGGUCGAUACGGGCAUCACUGGAGUUCGGCAGGGGAGACUGGAACUCCUGGUGUAGCGGUGAAAUGCGCAGAUAUCAGGAGGAACACCGGUGGCGAAGGCGGGUCUCUGGGCAAUUCCUGACGCUGAGGCGCGAAAGCGUGGGGAGCAAACGGG
rnacentral:rRNA from 1 species